rnacentral:rRNA from 1 species
GAUGAACGCUGGCGGCGUGCCUAAUACAUGCAAGUCGAGCGAACAGACGAGGAGCUUGCUCCUCUGACGUUAGCGGCGGACGGGUGAGUAACACGUGGAUAACCUACCUAUAAGACUGGGAUAACUUUGGGAAACCGGAGCUAAUACCGGAUAAUAUAUUGAACCGCAUGGUUCAAUAGUGAAAGACGGUUUUGCUGUCACUUAUAGAUGGAUCCGCGCCGCAUUAGCUAGUUGGUAAGGUAACGGCUUACCAAGGCGACGAUGCGUAGCCGACCUGAGAGGGUGAUCGGCCACACUGGAACUGAGACACGGUCCAGACUCCUACGGGAGGCAGCAGUAGGGAAUCUUCCGCAAUGGGCGAAAGCCUGACGGAGCAACGCCGCGUGAGUGAUGAAGGUCUUCGGAUCGUAAAACUCUGUUAUUAGGGAAGAACAAAUGUGCAAGUAACUAUGCACGUCUUGACGGUACCUAAUCAGAAAGCCACGGCUAACUACGUG